GGAGGCGUUUCGUAUAGGACGGGCGACGUCGGAGUACGCAUGCGCGCUUUUAGCUUUCAGGGAUCACCUCUCAACACCACCGAAUUCUCUCACAGCACUUUUCUUUUUGUUUUUACCCCAAAACAACAGAAUAGCACAACUGUCAAGACACCCAUGUGACCUGCGUCAUCGCCGAGGACUGCUUCCUGCCCUGCUCCUUCCAGCCCUCCGGCCACGACGCCGUCGGCUGGUUCAGACAGGAAGUGGCGGUGCUCAGCUUCCUGUCGGCGGGCAGCGAGGAGGAAGAGGAGGAUGACGACGAGGACAAAGAGGAGGACGAGGGGGACGAGGACGAGGAGCGCGGGCAGCACUACGACGACCGGGCCAGUGUCUCCCCGGAGCAGGUCGCCCGCGGCAAC
ensembl:lncRNA